CGCGCAGAAGAAGAAGAAUUCGUCCCUCCCGCGCAGCCUCCUGCAGCGCGCACCGAAGCGCUGCGCGUUCCGAUGAGGCAGAGAGCAGCAACAGUUAGGAAAUCCACGAUAUUGAACCUGUCCAGACAUUCUCAUCGACCUCUUCUGCUCACAGAGAUGACCUCACACGAUGUAUUCUCUCUUUUGGACCAUAAGCCGAGGUUAAAAGUUUCUAAAAUUUCUAAGGUUUUAAACCCACCGUAAUCUUUAACAUAAACUACAUUUAAGGGACAUCCUGGCACACUUUUUUGGAGAUGUGGUGUUUUUUUUGCAAGAAGAUGAUCAAUGUGUGGGUUCCAUUAUGAAACAAAUUUGUCUGAGUACAGCAGUUCUUUUUUGUCUCCACACUUAUACUUGUUUUUAUAACCAAUUAUUUUGCUAAAAACCCAAACUAUGCAUUUAUACAUGGUCUAUUUAUCUUACAAUUGAUGCUAAUAAGCGUUAAGAAAUACAUUCCAGUAAUGAAAAUGUUGAACUUAGAUAUGUCUGUAUCAGAGGGACGUUGUAAGAUCCAAACACUGGAGAUGUGACUUUUCUUUUUUUAUUUUAUCUUUGUUUAACCAGGGAAUUGAGAUUGAGAUUAAAAAUCUCAUCUUUCAAAGGUGCCCUGUUGGCACCAAUUGUGUUAUAAUUAAAUGUUAACAGGACAAAAUGAAAAAGAAAAAAA